AUGGCAAUGAGAUUGACACCAUGUUUGUAGACCGGCGGGGGACAGCUGAGCCCCAGGGACAGAAGCUGGUGAUCUGCUGUGAGGGGAAUGCUGGGUUUUAUGAGGUGGGCUGCGUCUCCACGCCCCUGGAAGCUGGAUAUUCAGUCCUGGGCUGGAAUCAUCCAGGCUUUGCUGGAAGCACGGGGGUGCCAUUCCCGCAGAAUGAGGCCAAUGCCAUGGAUGUGGUGGUCCAGUUUGCCAUCCACCGCCUGGGCUUCCAGCCCCAGGACAUCAUCAUCUAUGCCUGGUCCAUCGGCGGCUUCACUGCCACGUGGGCAGCCAUGUCCUACCCAGAUGUUAGUGCUGUGAUCCUGGAUGCCUCCUUUGAUGACCUGGUGCCCUUGGCCUUGAAGGUCAUGCCAGACAGCUGGAGGGGCCUGGUGACCAGGACCGUGAGGCAGCAUCUCAAUCUAAACAAUGCGGAGCAGCUGUGCAGAUACCAGGGUCCUGUACUGCUGAUCCGGAGAACCAAGGAUGAGAUCAUCACCACCACGUGAGUGCGUUGGAACCUCGGCCCUCAGGAAUCCCAGAGAUGGCCAGGAACUUGCCCCUCCCACCUCUGCCCACCAGAAACCCGGGUAUCUAGACCCUUCCUCCUAACCUCCAGCCCCUCCAGGGUACAUUCUUCUCACCCCCAGGGUUCCUGAGGACAUCAUGUCCAACCGAGGCAAUGACCUCCUGCUGAAGCUCCUGCAGCAUCGGUAUCCCCGGGUGAUGGCAGAGGAGGGUCUUCGAGUGGUGAGGCAGUGGUUGGAGGCCUCCUCACAGCUGGAGGAAGGUGAGAAGGGAUCCAGUGAGGCUUGAGGCGGGGGCCCAGCAAGGUCAGGUU
rnacentral:sRNA from 1 species